ACAUGCAAGUCGAACGAGAAAUUUAUUUCUAGUGGCGAACGGGUGAGUAAUGUAUUUCUAAUCUGCCCUAAAGUCUGGGAUAACUAUUGGAAACGAUAGCUAAUACCGGAUAGGAUAUCGAGAGGCAUCUCUUGAUGUUUAAAGGUGCGUUUGCACCGCUAUAGGAUGAGGAAAUAUCACAUUAGGUAGUUGGUAGGGUAAAGGCCUACCAAGCCAAUGAUGUGUAGCCGAGCUGAGAGGUUGAUCGGCCACAAUGGGACUGAGACACGGCCCAUACUCCUACGGGAGGCAGCAGUAGGGAAUUUUCCACAAUGGACGAAAGUCUGAUGGAGCAAUGCCGCGUGAGGGAUGACGGUCUUCGGAUUGUAAACCUCUGUUGUAAGGGAAGAACAAACUGUACAGGAAAUGGUACAGUUCUGACGGUACCUUACCAGAAAGUCACGGCUAACUAUGUGCCAGCAGCCGCGGUAAUACAUAGGUGGCGAGCGUUAUCCGGAUUUAUUGGGCGUAAAGAGUGCACAGGUGGUUUAUCAAGUCAGGCGUUAAAGCCCGGAGCUCAACUCCGGUUCGCGCUUGAAACUGAUAGACUAGAGUAUCGGUGGGGUUAGUAGAAUUCCAUGUGUAGCGGUGGAAUGCAUAAAUAUAUGGAGGAAUACCAGUGGCGAAGGCGGCUAACUGAACGAUAACUGACACUUAAGCACGAAAGCGUGGGGAGCAAAUAGGAUUAGAUACCCUAGUAGUCCACGCCGUAAACGAUCCAGACUAGACGUAGGGAAGACCCUGUGUCACAGCUAACGCAUUAAGUCUGGCGCCUGGGUAGUAUGCACGCAAGUGUGAAACUCAAAGGAAUUGACGGGGACCAGCACAAGUGGUGGAGCAUGUGGUUUAAUUCGAAGAUACGCGAAGAACCUUACCUACACUUGACAUGCUUGGCAAUGCUAUGGAGACAUAGCGGAGGCAAACCGAUGCACAGGUGGUGCAUGGUUGUCGUCAGCUCGUGUCGUGAGAUGUUCGGUUAAGUCC
rnacentral:rRNA from 1 species